CGCGGGCUUGGCACGGCGCUGCGCACUCAGUAGUAACGUUCACCCUGAGCAGUGGAGCUCUAAGCUAGACAUGGCGGCGGAUCCCAAGCCGGACUGGUUCUCCUGCCUUCCCUCUUCUUGGAGUAAUGGGGUGACUCGGGAUGGACGCAUAUUCUUCAUCAACGAAGAAGCGAAGAGCACAACCUGGUUGCAUCCUGUAACGGGAGAGGCUGUAAUCACGGGGCACAGAAAAACUCAAGAUUUACCAACAGGAUGGGAGGAAGGAUACACAUUUGAGGGAGCUCGCUGCUUCAUCAAUCACAAUGAGAGACAGGUGACCUGUAAGCACCCAGUGUCAGGAGUCCCUUCCCAAGACAACUGCAUCUUUGUCGUAAAUGAACAUCCGGCCCCUCAGGCUUCGUCAGAGCAGGGCAGCAGCAGUGACAAGAAGGAACGUCCCAUGAGCACGAUGAGCGAGGCUUCAAACUACACAGGUGGCUCUGAUUACAGCACCUUUCCCGGCAGCCCGGCCACCACCGUGACUACUGCCAACACCACCACCUCCACGACAUCCACACGGCCAUCUCGGUCUUUCAAAAAAGUUCACAACUUUGGGAAGCGCUCAAACUCUAUCAAGAGGAACCCCAAUGCCCCGGUGGUCAAGAGCAACUGGCUUUAUAAACAGGACAGCACAGGCAUGAAGCUCUGGAAGAAAAGGUGGUUUGUUCUGUGUGACAUGUGCCUCUUCUACUACCGGGAUGAGAAAGAGGACAACAUCCUGGGAAGUAUCCUGCUACCAAGCUUUCACAUCUCAAUGCUGUCGGUGGAUGACCACAUCAGCAGGAAAUACGCUUUCAAGGCCACUCAUCCCAACAUGCGCACCUAUUAUUUCUGCACUGACUCAGCCAAAGAGAUGGAGUCCUGGAUGAAAGUCAUGACGGAUGCUGCUCUUGUCCACACUGAACCAGUCAGAAGACUGGACAAGUUGAAAGUGGAUCAGCGAACACCUCAGGAGUUGAACAUGUUACUCAACCACAGAGUCCUAACUCGGCCCGAGAUCCAGAACAACGAACGCAACCGCGAGCCUGUACAACAGCAACGUUCCUUAUCUCAAGUCAACAAUAAACAGCAACAAGACCCAAUGAAACCCAAUAGCCAAAAGGAGCAUGAGUACUACAGCUUACAGAGAGGUGGGGAAAGGUGCUCCCUGAAAAAAGAUGGCAUGAGCUACAUGCUUCAGACGGAAGGAGAGAGGUAUCUCCUACACCAAGACGGAGAGAAAAGCAUCCUGCAGAAAGACAGAGAGCUGUAUGCAAUUCACAAGGAUCUGAAGCGGUAUGCUCCCCAGAACGUGACCGAAAAAUGUAGUGUGACGCCGACAGAGGAGAAAUACGCCCCAACGAAAGAUGGAGAGAAGUACCUGCUGAAGAAUGAUGGAGAAAAGUAUGCAUUGCAAAUAAUAGGAGACAGGCACACACUUCAGAAAGGACAGAAAUGCAAUCCCCAGAAAGAGGUAAAGAGACAGCUGUCACUGAAGGAGACAGAGAUGCCCGGCAUAAUGAGGAAGACGGACAGUAAAUAUGGUACCAUUCAAGUGGUGGACAAAUACGGUACUCUGAAGGCAGUGAAGAAAUACGCUACUCUCAGAGAAGGAGAGAAAUACGCUACUCUCAGAGAAGGAGAGAAGUAUGCUACUCUCAGAGAUGCAGGGAGGUAUGCUACUGUUCGCGGGGAAAUAUAUGGCUACCAGAGUGCAGAGAGGCCUCUGACUAAAAUCAGCAGCAUCAAGCUGCAGCCGGCUCAGGCUGCGGCUAUCGCCUCCGCAGUGUCAGCAUCUCGCCAUGGCCAGGCCAACCUCAAUGUCCCCAUUCCUGCACAAAUCAAUGGCUCGGGGUCCACGGUGGACAAGCGGACUGGGGACUGCAGCCCGGCAGAGGUGGACAGCAGCAUGGCGUUGGGUCCGGGAAAGUCCCCUGCUUCUGUUCAGGAGCCAGAGAGGGGCCUAUCCAGGACCAACUCCAUGCAGCAACUGGAACACUGGGUCCGCACAUACAGGACAAGAGGACUGGACGAUGACACCAGGAGCGUAACGUCCUAUCAAACCUUACCCAGGAACAUGCCGAGCCACUGUCCUCAGAUCGUACCCCGUUACCCGGAGGGGUAUCGCACGCUGCCCCGCAACACUAUGAUGAGGCCCGACAGCAUCUGCAGUGUGGCAGGCUCUGUGUAUGACCAGGCCCUCCGUCCCGCCUCUACCGUCACCACAGCGGAGAAGAGGAGGUCUAUGAGGGACGACACCAUGUGGCAGCUGUAUGAGUGGCAGCAGCGGCAGGCCUUCUCCAGGCACAGUUUGGCUCAGCCAACAGCCAUGGGUCAUUAUGGUACUCUGCCCAGCACAAAGACCAUGGGUAACAUCUCGGAAUACGCCGUGGCACACUCCAUACCCACCUCGCCAUCUCACGGCUCCCUGGCUCUCUACAGCACCUUCUCCCCUCCUCGCCAGCAGGUUGCUCCCAACCCCAGCAACUCCCAACCCGAUGUGUCCUCACCCGUUCUCAGUGGGGACGUGACGCAGGAACAGUGGCACAGGACGCACGUCACCAAGUCCCACCCCCCUCCCCCACAGUACGGCUACCAACCUGACAGACGAUCCCUCCCAGUCCCUCCACAGUCCAUCACCCCACAGUCCCUGCAAGGCAAGACGCCCGAGGAGCUGACUCUGCUCCUGAUCAAGCUCCGCCGCCAGCAGGCGGAGCUCACCAGUCUCCGGGAACACACAGUAGCUCAGCUAAUGGCUCUGGGUUUGGAGGGGCCCAACGCUAAGACUGAUGUUCUUUCUCAUCAUCUCCAAAGGAACCUUGUUUACCUGGACAGCCAGACGAAGGACAAUGAGCCUCUAAUCUUCACGAUUCACACUAUGAUCGAGAACUCGGCGCCGAGGCCGCAACUCUAUCAGCAAACUAGUCCAGACGACUUCAAAGAUGGCUCUUUCAUCCAGCAUACCGAGGAGCCUAACAUAGACACCAAGCUCAGCAGACUGUGUGAGCAGGACAAGGCAGCAAGGAUGCAGGAGGAGAAAUUGCAGCAGCUACACAGAGAGAAGCACACUCUUGAGACGGCCCUGCUGUCGGCCAGUCAGGAGCUGAGUGAACAGAGUGGCUCCAACGCUGCAGCCACAAAGAGCCUGGUCCAGCAGAGAGACGUGCUGCAGGGCGGCCUACUCAGCACCUGCAGAGAGCUGUCCAGAGUCACCACUGAGUUGGAGCGGUCCUGGAGGGAUUACGACAAGAUGAGGGCAGACGUUACUAUGGCUAAAUCCAACCUGCUGGAGCAGCUGGAAGCCCUGGGCAGCCCACAGACAGAACCUCCUAGUCAGCGACACAUCCAGAUCCAAAAGGAGCUGUGGAGGAUCCAGGAUGUGAUGGAGGCUCUGGCCAAAAAUAAGCCUCAGCGGAGCACAGACAGCACAGCUUUACCUGGUUCCAAAGCGCUCCCCAGUCGACAGAAGGAUGAGGCAGUGAUGGUGCUGCCACUGAGCCCCCUCAAGGAGGGCGACACUUUGCCCCCCCGCCCUCCUCUCCCUCAGUACUACAACUCAUCAGUGCGCCCCACACACACACACCCCCACUACUCACAUCCUGGCGGUCGCCUACCCCCCCACAUGCACCGCUCUGAAGAUCGCAAGGCCAGCGCCAGGAACGGAGUGAACAGCCAAGCGCCAGACUACCGGCUGUAUAAGAGUGAACCUGAGCUGACCACGGUGAAGGAGGAGGGAGACGAGGCCAACAGCGAGGACAAGAACAAAAUGGAGCGCUCUGCUGAGAGUAAGGACACCUCAGCUUCCGCAGAUGCUCCUCGCCCUCUUAAAAAAGACGUGCAAAAGAUGCCCCCCUAUCCAGUGGGCAUCAUUCUCCCCAGGACCAAAUCUCCCAUGAGUCCGUCAGAGUCCUCCAACAUUCCCUCCUAUGUCACCCUAAGGAAGCCCAAGAAGCCUGAAUCCAGACCUGACCGGCCGAGGAGUGUAGUGGAUCAGACAGGGUUUGGGGAGAGAGAGAUGGGUAGAACGAGAAUGAGUGUGGAGGAGCAGUUGGAGAGGAUAAGGAGAAACCAGCAGGCCUCCGCACUCCGGGAAAAGAAGAGAGAAAACCCAUCCCGCUCGCCCUCAUUCAGCAAAGACAACCCUUUUAUUAUCCAACAGACUCAGGUCCAGGCAGAGGGAGCCUGUGCAGACCCAGGGGAGCUGGAGGCAGCUCUGCAGCAGCUAAAGGUGGCUCACAUGGAGCAGAGCAGGAUUCACACAGGACCAGCCCCUCAGGAGAUGGAGGAGGUGAAAAAUGAGCUUGAGGAGAUGCAGCGGUAUGGGGACGUGGUCCUGCAGGUUGUGCAGGAGCCACAGACCGAGGCCAACUACAGAGAUGAUGAGCUGUGUGAGAGCCAGAGAGUGGUAAUUCUUGACCUGGGCACAGAGCCUCAGCAUGUGGAAAUUUUACACCUUCGUCCUUUUGAGGAUGAAGAAAGCAGAGAGCAAGAUCUCACCAGCUCGCCGACAAACACCACAACGGAAAACAGCUUCCAGACUCCUGAGCCGGAAACACCGAGCCCAGAACCAAGGGACGAGGAACCAGACGUAGCCCAACAGACCAACAGGGAGGAGAAGCUCGAGAAGAGAUUGAAUUCUUCCAACCAGCCGACAGCAGGCAAAAAGAAACCUAGCAACAACAACAACAUGUUGGCUUGAAAUAUAUUCAAGUUGUAUUGUAGGUGAGUGGAGAGCACGGUCGUCUUUCAAUCUCUGGCUCCGCUAGUUCAUGCUGAUGACACUUAACUCCACAUUGCUCUCAAAGUUGUGCCUGCACUGUCGUUACAUGUUAAGCACAGACAUUCACCCUGGUGAGCAGUGACACGUGAGCAACGCUGGCUUCGACAUCCACUGGCGUCCCUUAAAGGCAAAAUGUAGCUCCACGGCAUCCAGCUUUUACAAGACGACUACUUUGAUUACUACUACUAUUAGGCCACAACCAGACCAAGACUGAGAGGAUGACCACCCUGCAGACGGACUCCUCGCAGAUGGGCCGCCAUCUCUUUCAGGCAGAAGUUAAAGGCAAAUUAACUGUUUCUUUACCACAUGUUUGAUCUUUCCAUACUGAUACAACCCUGACCAAAACACCAAUUCUAUGGAGUGAGAUUUGUCUCAAAACAUGUCAGCAUAAAAUUAAGAUUGUGAAAUGGUUAAUGCAUAAAACAUGAUCUCCGUUUUCAAUUAAAUAAAACUCAGCAAUCCAAGAAGUUUUCUUUACAGUCCGGAUACUUUUUCUGGAUUCAAAACAAGUGUCUGUCUGUGUAUUAUCAGGAAGCCAUACCAGGUAUAUAAUUGAAAAGGAAGUGGUAGAUAAAGGAAGAUCAAGUGUCAACUGAUAAAAACAUACUUAAAAGGUAGGGAGUGAGUUUAAGUGCUACUUUUAAUUAAUUUGAAAAUUAAUCAGUAUCACAUUUGUUACUUUUUUUAACAAAGUCGUGUUCCCAUCCAGAUAUUUUUUCUUAUCUGAAAAUGGCUGCGAGUACUUUCAGAGGAAAAUGUUUUUUUAAGUUGAGAGUGUCAGGUGCAUGCGGUGGAAGUAAAAAUCUUUGCAGUUGCUCUGGAUGAAUGGAAAGCUGAGAAACGUAUGGGAGUGAAGACAUACCAAAUGGUCUCUGUGUGCUCACUUUGUGAGUGAGGAAAUAGAUAUCUAAUAAUGAGUAACAUCACUUGGUUGUAGAGCUGAAGUAGGAUGAGACCCUGUGCGGUAGAACCACAACAAUUAGUUCAUUGUAUUUGGGCUACAUUUCUUCCACUGGGAUUGGAUUGUUUGCUCAACAGGGACAAGCGCCAAAAUAUUCUUCAGGUCACAGCUACACGUGUGAAGCGGGUAUAGCAGCUGAUCCACAGCCUGGGUAGUGAGCUUGAUUGAUUCUGUAUCUUUUUCAACAGUAAGACGGACAACUAUUACAGAUGUCUGAAUAUCAGUGUAAAGCAUUGUAAAAUACCAUUAAAGCCCCUGCGUCCUGGUCCAAAAGGAACUUCUGAUGCAGAAAGUCUGUGUGCAUGUCCUACUGGAAUGAUUCACACCAAUGCUUUAUCACAAACUUUCAAAAAUGAUUUCCUUCCAAUCAGUCAGGGUUUGUUGUGCACAUGUUAAGUGUUAACAUGUGCACAUGUUCUUCUUAAAGAAGAAAAUAUUUAAAGGCUUCACACCCAGCGCAGUGUCAGAAAGAACUGUUUACCACUGCAGCCUCUUUGAUGACUUCUUUGUGAAGUUGUGAACUGCACACAAUAUAAACUGAUUAACCCCAGAGGGCCAUACAGUCUGUCCACAUGCAAAGUCCUCUGUCCCAAAACGGCUCAGGAAAAACGCCCCCAUAUUUAACACUCGGUAGUGAUAUGUUGGUUUUGUGUUUUUCUUUCUUCCCCAAGGCAUUUCACAAUCGUGAUUUUAUUUUGAGAUUAAUAUAGCUCCAUAGAGAUGUGUUGACACACACACACACACACACACACACACAUUCGCAGAACCUUUGAUACCUUACCUAACCUUAUUCAAUUAAUGUUAACAUAAUAAUUUUUAGACUAUUCUAAUGAUCCAGAGAAGGGGAUAUUUGCUAUCACUGAGUUCUUUGAGGUGAGUGUACACCUGCAUAUAGUCUCUCCAUAGAUGGGGUAAGCACCAAAUCUCAACACACAUGCAGUGCAUUACUUUAACCCUAAAGUGACCACUGAUGCUUUCGAAUUUUAACCUGCGCAGAUUUUUAUUAAUUGUGUUCAUUUGAGACCAGAGGCUCCCAUAUCACUAUAUUUUCUCUCUGUACCUGAGACAUAAGAUAUUGUCCGUCAUCGGAUAUACAGAUAUAAAUAUAUAAAAAUAAAGCAUUUUUUACUUUUACAACAAGGUACCACUUCAUGCUCUGCUUUUUUGGACAGAAAUAAGUGUUUUGCAUACAUUGUGAUUAUUUUUGUGACCUGAAGUCUGUUAACAACACAUUCAACCUGAUAAAUGUGUUGCCAGUAUGCUUUUGUCAGUUACGUCGCCUUGUUUUUCUCUUUGCUGUAUAUUACUUAGAAGAUAUAAACACAACAUGACACAGAUUACGUGAACAGAUAUUUUGAGUUGGAAUCUGUCAUAGUGUUGAGGAAUUGGAGAAUAGCACAUGUACCAAGCAAUAAGUCGUAUUAUGGAGCUCCAAGACAUUAAAUCAACUUAAAAUAGAUGUAUAAAUUGUAAAAAGAAAUUAAAAAUAAAACAAAAUAAAAUAAUUUAUAUACACACUGAAAAGAAGAGUGAAUAUUCUAACUAUCAGAGGUAUUAAUGUUGUAGGUUCAAUAUGCAAAGUUAAUAGCCCAUCUGUUUUAUAUCAUGUGAAAUAAAUGUUGAUGUUCUUAAAGUA